AACGAACGCUGGCGGCAGGCUUAACACAUGCAAGUCGAACGCAUGCCUUCGGGCAUGAGUGGCAGACGGGUGAGUAACGCGUGGGAACCUACCCCUUGGUACGGGAUAGCUCCGGGAAACUGGAGAUAAUACCGUAUGUGUCCUGAGGGACAAAGAUUCAUCGCCACGGGAUGGGCCCGCGUCGGAUUAGCUAGUUGGUGGGGUAACGGCCUACCAAGGCGACGAUCCGUAGCUGGUCUAAGAGGAUGAUCAGCCACAUUGGGACUGAGACACGGCCCAAACUCCUACGGGAGGCAGCAGUGGGGAAUAUUGGACAAUGGGCGCAAGCCUGAUCCAGCCAUGCCGCGUGAGUGAUGAAGGCCCUAGGGUUGUAAAGCUCUUUCACCGGUGACGAUAAUGACGGUAACCGGAGAAGAAGCCCCGGCUAACUUCGUG
rnacentral:rRNA from 1 species